AUUAAUGAGGGGAGGAAAAGAAACUAACAAGGAUUUUCUUAGUAGCGGCGAGCGAAAAGAAAUCAGUUCAGCACUAAGUCACUUUAUCUUUAUGGUAAAUGUGAGAUGCAGUGUAUGGAACGUCUAUAAUCUAAUAUGAUAAAUUAACGAUUUAAGUCCCUCUCAAAAGAGGCCAUUUACCCAUAGAGGGUGCCAGGCCCGUAUAACGUUAAUGAUUAUUAGAAGAUGCUUCCAAAGAGUCGUGUUGCUUGAUAGUGCAGCACUAAGUGGGUGGUAAACUCCAUCUAAAACUAAAUAUAACCAUGAGACCGAUAGUAAACAAGUACCGUGAGGGAAAGUUGAAAAGAACUCUGAAUAGAGAGUUAAAUAGUACGUGAAACUGCUUAGAGGUUAAGCCCGAUGAACCUGAAUAUUCACUAUGGCAAAUUCAACAUAUGCCUAUAGUAUAUAAAAAAUACUAUAGUAAUAUUGUGCAUUUUUUCCAUACAGAACAUUGUAAUCUAUUAACAAUUAUAUAUAUAUUUAUCAUAAGAUCAUUUGGGCUUAUUGUUUAUACAAAUUAAAUUGCUUGCAAUUUAAUAUUUGAAUAAAUGCCUUUGAUUUGAUAAAGUGUUGAUAGAUUAAAUUAAAAAUUAGUGCUUAAAUUUCCAUUGUGGAAUUUUACAAAUUGCAUAAGAAUAUAUUUUUUAUGUACCAUAAUUUGUAUGCGCUUAAUUGAUUAACAAUGCGAUAGAUUCAGGAUACCUUCGGGACCCGUCUUGAAACACGGACCAAGGAGUCUAACAUAUGUGCAAGUCAUUGGGAUUAAAAUUAAAAAUCAAAAUUAAACCCAAAGGCAUAAUUAACUUAACUUACAAUUUUAAUGGGAAUAGUUUUUAGUCUCUAUUUUAUUAAUUGGUCUAUUAAUUCAAUCCCGGGGCGUUCUAUAUGGUUAUGUAUAAUAAUAUUUAUAUUAUUUAUACCUCUAACUGGAGCGUACCUUGAGCAAAUAUGCUGUGACCCGAAAGAUGGUGAACUAUACUUGAUCAGGUUGAAGUCAGGGGAAACCCUGAUGGAAGACCGAAACAGUUCUGACGUGCAAAUCGAUUGUCAGAAUUGAGUAUAGGGGCGAAAGACCAAUCGAACCAUCUAGUAGCUGUU
rnacentral:rRNA from 1 species